rnacentral:rRNA from 1 species
AAUAGAUACCCGGGUAGUCCACGCCGUAAACGUUGGGUACUAGGUGUGGCGUCCCGAUCAACGGAUGCCGUGCCGAAGCUAACGCAUUAAGUACCCCGCCUGGGGAGUACGGCCGCAAGGCUAAAACUCAAAGGAAUUGACGGGUCCCCGCACAAGCGGCGGAGCAUGCGGCUUAAUUCGAUGCAACCCGAGGAACCUUACCUGGACUUGACAUCAUGGGAAAAGCCGUAGAAAUACGGUGUCCGUAAGGGUCCAUGACAGGUGGUGCAUGGCUGUCGUCAGCUCGUGUCGUGAGAUGUUGGGUUAAGUCCCGCAACGAGCGCAACCCUUGUCCUAUGUUGCCAGCGCGUAAUGGCGGGGACUCAUAGGAGACUGCCGGGGACAACUCGGAGGAAGGUGAGGACGACGUCAAGUCAUCAUGCCCCUUAUGUCCAGGGCUGCACGCAUGCUACAAUGGCCGGUACAACAGGCAGCGAACUCGCGAGGGUGAGCGAAUCCUCAAAAGCCGGCCUCAGUUCGGAUUGGGAGUCUGCAA